AAAUUGAAGAGUUUGAUCAUGGCUCAGAUUGAACGCUGGCGGCAGGCCUAACACAUGCAAGUCGAGCGGUAGCACAGAGAGCUUGCUCUCGGGUGACGAGCGGCGGACGGGUGAGUAAUGUCUGGGAAACUGCCUGAUGGAGGGGGAUAACUACUGGAAACGGUAGCUAAUACCGCAUAANGUCGCAAGACCAAAGUGGGGGACCUUCGGGCCUCAUGCCAUCAGAUGUGCCCAGAUGGGAUUAGCUAGUAGGUGGGGUAANGGCUCACCUAGGCGACGAUCCCUAGCUGGUCUGAGAGGAUGACCAGCCACACUGGAACUGAGACACGGUCCAGACUCCUACGGGAGGCAGCAGUGGGGAAUAUUGCACAAUGGGCGCAAGCCUGAUGCAGCCAUGCCGCGUGUGUGAAGAAGGCCUUCGGGUUGUAAAGCACUUUCAGCGGGGAGGAAGGCGNUAAGGUUAAUAACCUNNUCGAUUGACGUUACCCGCAGAAGAAGCACCGGCUAACUCCGUGCCAGCAGCCGCGGUAAUACGGAGGGUGCAAGCGUUAAUCGGAAUUACUGGGCGUAAAGCGCACGCAGGCGGUCUGUCAAGUCGGAUGUGAAAUCCCCGGGCUNAACCUGGGAACUGCAUUCGAAACUGGCAGGCUAGAGUCUUGUAGAGGGGGGUAGAAUUCCAGGUGUAGCGGUGAAAUGCGUAGAGAUCUGGAGGAAUACCGGUGGCGAAGGCGGCCCCCUGGACAAAGACUGACGCUCAGGUGCGAAAGCGUGGGGAGCAAACAGGAUUAGAUACCCUGGUAGUCCACGCCGUAAACGAUGUCGAUUUGGAGGUUGUGCCCUUGAGGCGUGGCUUCCGGAGCUAACGCGUUAAAUCGACCGCCUGGGGAGUACGGCCGCAAGGUUAAAACUCAAAUGAAUUGACGGGGGCCCGCACAAGCGGUGGAGCAUGUGGUUUAAUUCGAUGCAACGCGAAGAACCUUACCUGGUCUUGACAUCCACAGAACUUUCCAGAGAUGGAUUGGUGCCUUCGGGAACUGUGAGACAGGUGCUGCAUGGCUGUCGUCAGCUCGUGUUGUGAAAUGUUGGGUUAAGUCCCGCAACGAGCGCAACCCUUAUCCUUUGUUGCCAGCGGU
rnacentral:rRNA from 1 species